GGGGUUCUAGCUCAUCGGUAGAGCGCUCGCUUAGCACCCGGUCUCGGUUGCGAGAGGCGCUGGGUUCGAUUCCCAGGUACUCCA
rnacentral:tRNA from 1 species